GACGAACGCUGGCGGCGUGCUUAACACAUGCAAGUCGAACGGAAAGGCCUCUUUCGGGGGGUACUCGAGUGGCGAACGGGUGAGUAACACGUGAGUAACCUGCCCUUGACUUUGGGAUAACUUCAGGAAACUGGGGCUAAUACCGGAUAGGAGCUCCUGCUGCAUGGUGGGGGUUGGAAAGUUUCGGCGGUUGGGGAUGGACUCGCGGCUUAUCAGCUUGUUGGUGGGGUAGUGGCUUACCAAGGCUUUGACGGGUAGCCGGCCUGAGAGGGUGACCGGCCACAUUGGGACUGAGAUACGGCCCAGACUCCUACGGGAGGCAGCAGUGGGGAAUAUUGCACAAUGGGUGGAAGCCUGAUGCAGCAACGCCGUGUGCGGGAUGACGGCCUUCGGGUUGUAAACCGCUUUCUCUCAUGACGAAGCUUUGUGUGACGGUAGUGGGUAAAGAAGCACCGGCUAACUACGUG
rnacentral:rRNA from 1 species